rnacentral:ncRNA from 1 species
UGGUGUAAUAGUAAUCCUGCUCAGUAUGAUAGGAACCGCAGGUUCAAAUACUUGGUGUAUGUGCUUGGCUGAGGAGCCAAUGGGGCAAAACUACCAUCUGUGGGAUUAUGACUGAACACCUCUAAAUCAGAAUAGCCCCUAAAGGUAAUGAUACUGCUGUGCCAUGGAGCCUUGAUUGGCUCUGGAUAGCUGGCCACUCCCCCAGAGGGGGCAGGACCCAGUGUGGAGAGCCGUUCAUGUUGGGACAGGAGAGCAGGCAGAGGGCAGCCACAUUUCCACCCACAGCAUAUCACAUGUUCACAGGGAACCUGGUGCUAAAUCAUUCAUAGAUGCCCUGAUUCUGGGUUAGGUUUUUGUAUAUAGCAGACCAGCUACCUUGUUGCAAUCUAUUGAAAGUCAGCCCUUGAAACAAGCUUU